rnacentral:rRNA from 1 species
GGGAAUAUUGCACAAUGGGCGCAAGCCUGAUGCAGCCAUGCCGCGUGUGUGAAGAAGGCCUUCGGGUUGUAAAGCACUUUCAGCGAGGAGGAAGGGUUCAGUGUUAAUAGCACUGUUCAUUGACGUUACUCGCAGAAGAAGCACCGGCUAACUCCGUGCCAGCAGCCGCGGUAAUACGGAGGGUGCAAGCGUUAAUCGGAAUUACUGGGCGUAAAGCGCACGCAGGCGGUUUGUUAAGUCAGAUGUGAAAUCCCCGCGCUUAACGUGGGAACUGCAUUUGAAACUGGCAAGCUAGAGUCUUGUAGAGGGGGGUAGAAUUCCAGGUGUAGCGGUGAAAUGCGUAGAGAUCUGGAGGAAUACCGGUGGCGAAGGCGGCCCCCUGGACAAAGACUGACGCUCAGGUGCGAAAGCGUGGGGAGCAAAACAGGAUUAGAUACCCUGGUAGUCCACGCUGUAAACGAUGUCGACUUGGAGGUUGUGCCCUUGAGGCGUGGCUUCCGGAGCUAACGCGUUAAGUCGACCGCCUGGGGGAGUACGGCCGCAAGGUUAAAAC